rnacentral:misc_RNA from 1 species
AACCUAGCACACCUGCGGUGUGUACCUGCGGAAGGAUCAUUACCUAGAGUUGUAGGCUUUGCCUGCUAUCUCUUACCCAUGUCUUUUGAGUACCUUACGUUUCCUCGGCGGGUUCGCCCGCCGGUUGGACAAAACUUAAACCCUUUGUAGUUGCAAUCAGCGUCUGAAAAAACUUAAUAGUUACAACUUUUAGCAAUGGAUCU